UGGGGGAUCGGCUAGUGGUAGGCCAACAGACUCUGGAUCUGUCUGCGGAGGUUCGAAUCCUUCUCCCCCAGCCA
rnacentral:tRNA from 2 species